UAGUUUAAAACUUUUAAUUACAAAGAAAUAUCACAAUAUAGCUGUAAAGCUUUGAUUUAUAUGUCAGUACAUUCUGGAAUUAGACAAAGGGUAUAAAAAACCAUCACAUUUUACAUCAAAUAGGAUUUUGACAAAACAAAAAAACUUUAUUAUGAACAAAUAAAACAUUUAACAAGAACUUUGAUUGGAGUAACAAAAGGAUGCCCCUGCCCUGCAAUACUAAUAUUUCUUGUAAUUCAGGAGAACUUGUGCUUAAAGAUAUUACUGUCAAAUUGGUGCAAUAUAUAAAUAGGUGGAUGGUCUCUCCUAUAACAUGCAAGAGCAGGAUACAAUUACUGGAUAUUUUCUAUAACUCUAUAAAAUGCCAUCAAUAUAGGAGGGUAUAACAAAACUAAUUUCAACAAUUUUAUGACUUGGUUCUUAUGUUUACCCGCUAAAAUGCACAAAAUACUAGUAUUUAAAUACAAAGUAUAUGGCACAUAACAUAACAAAUAUAAAGUUAUAACAUAACAAUAACAACUACUGUGGACUAAAAGUAACAUUGAAAUAACAUAAAACAUAACAAUAACAACUACUGUGGACUAAAAGUAACAUUGAAUUAACAUAAAACAUCAAUACAAUAACCUGCCUUAACUCAAAACAAAAUCAGGUAUGGUGUGGUUAAAGUAGUAGACUAUAAAUAAUUUGGUCCUAUCUAAAAGAUGUGGUAUGAAUGCCAACUCUCCUAUCUAAACAUUAAUAAAAGAAGAUGAGGGGUAGAAACCCAACAACAUAUAAAGCAAAUAGGUCAGCAUACUACCUAGAUAUGUUUUCCUAUUUUUAUCACUUGAAAACUUUUAUCAUUUUCUAUACAUUUUCUAUAAUAUUUAUUGUUCAGUAGCAUAACACUAUAAAAAUAGCCGCAUUAUAAAGUCCCCAUAGUUAAAUAUAUUUGGAGUGAUAAUAAAUGGCAAGGUAACAGCAUAGUAUUAAUACAUGGCAUUGCUACUUAAAAAUUAAUGAUAGUUUUACAUAGCUAUUUAUCCCCUAUAAGGUCACUAGAAAUUCAAUGAGACCUCUCAAUUUGAAAAAAAGAUAAAUUUCCGUCCUAGACCAAUUACCUAAUUUUCUACCAUCUUUAUCAUGUCAUCAUGAAGAAAUGUUUUACAAUUUUCUUUGUAAACUUCUAAAUAUGUGUCAUGUUUCUUUCCAUAUUCAAGGUAAAUUAUUGGUAAUAAUAUCCCCAAAGACACAGAAACCUGCUGAUAAAACAUAAGGUUGAAAAAUUGCCAUUCUACUCAUUUAGUUUGAAAAUGACAACUCUGUAACUUAGGAGAGCCUUUUUUAUUUAUUUUCAAUACAAUGUCAUUCAAACUAAGUUUCAAGGUAAUGCCAUUGAAUCAGAUUUGUAAUCUGUCACUUCAAUUUUUUUAUAAUCACAUUUAUGGUUACAGAAUGCAAAGGGGGUAAAAAGAAAUGGUGUCCAUUGCAAUCCGAAAUUUACAAACCAUUAUAAAACACAUUACAUCAAUUAAAUCACACUUAUUUGGGUCAUUUCAUAUGAUAAAAUAAAUUAACUAUAAUGAUAAAACUCUUAUUUAUUUACGAUUAUAAUUGAGUGGUUAUGUAUUGAUCAGUUCCUAUAGUUUUUCAGUCAGACGCUACCAAAAUCCAUAAAUCUGGAGAAGGCUCGUAAAGUCUGAGAUUUUAUCAAUUUUCUACUAAAAAGCAUAUCAGAAUCAUUUUUUGUUAAACAUACUGUUCCCAGGUUUAACUGUUAAAAGAUUAAAAAAAUAAUGCCUGGAAUAAUAAUUGUGAGACAUAGUUUGUCAUAUGUCAAAAUUACAUCAGAAAUAGUAUUUUCACCAAAUUGAACUAUCCUCAAUUAUGUUUCCUGAAUAAAUAUUUAGGUGAUCAUAAAGUUAAUAGAAUUACAAUUGAAUAACAUACAGGGUCAUACAGCACCUUCUUGAAUAUAACCUGACAAAAGUUACUUGCUACUUAUUAUCAUGAACCCUUUGUGUCAUGAUAAGCACAAUGGAAAGCAGGAGGUAUGCAAUUAAGAUUGAUAAUUUACUAUAAAGUUAUCACCAGACAUAAGUUACUUUCCUUUAUGUAAACGACAAUGAAAAGCAAUGGUAAAAAGGAGGUAUCUUUUUGUCCUGUGACUUUCUGUUCUACAUUCUAAAGGAGGUAUCAUAUUUAUGUUAAUUAUUUCUUGUUUUUAUAACUUACAAGUUCUUGGGAAUAAAACAGAUCAUAAAAAGUCCCAAAUUAGUUAUAUAAACCAAAUAUACACAAGACUAACUAAACAUAUUCCAUAACAAAAAUAUAAAAUAUAAUCAUAGCACCAAAUCAAGUCAAUUAUACCAAUACAUAUUUUACAGGUAAAUAUAUAAACAGGCAAGCCUUACACAGAUAUAAAUAUACUUUGACAAGAUCACAUAAUGCAUGUACCGUACAAAUAAGCCUUAAAAAUAUAUACAUCAUACAGGUACAUCUGUGAAUCGUCUUGUGUAUCAGGUAAAACUCAUAGCAAACAAUAAUUUAAGAAUCUUAUACAGAUAAAUAUUUCACAGGUAAAUAUAAUAAAUAAAAAUAUAACACACACAAAAUCACAUAGAAAGGUAAACAAUGAGAUCUAAGUGAAGUGCCAGGUAGAGAUAUACAGGUGACAUCCUAUCACAAUCACAGAGAAAGGUAAACAAUGAGAUCUAAGUAAAGUGUCAGGUAGAGAUAUGCAGGUGCAAGGCCGUAACUAGGCUUAUCAUUUUAGUGAGGCAAAAUAAAUGAGCCGAGCGAAGCGAGGCGAAUUUUUUUUUUUGAGGGUAUGAAAUGAAUGGUGCAAAAUCCUGCAUUCUAGGCAUUUCCAGAGAGUUUAAUAAUGUUUUGAAAUUGGACACUUUUUAUAUUAAUUUGAAAUAUUUAUAGACUUUUAUUAACACCAAAUGUUUAACAACUUUAUUUAUAUUUAUAUGUAAGAUAAUUAUCCAAAUAUCAAUUUUAGUCUGUCGCUAGAACAUAGAACAAACAUCGAUUUAGUCGAGUUUGCCAAAUAUUCUAUGGCCGGUUCAGUCAAAUUAUUUUAGAAUAUUUGGUCUACUGAUAUCCUAAUCGCGAUGAACAUGAAGCAUGGCAAAACUGCACAAUCUCUCGCCACUCAUACAUGCUCUUUUUCAAGUUUUCAGUCGUUUCAGGGCAGUCUGUGUUUCUAGAGACAGCAAAUUAUCAUCAACACAAUGAUCAAUAAAAUUGAAAAUGGAAAAGAGACAACAACCCGACCAUAGAAAAAAACAACAGCAGAAAGUCACAAACAGGUCUUCAAUGUAGCGAGAAAUUCCCGCACCCGGAGGCAUCCUUCAGCUGGCCCCUAAACAAAUAUAUACUAGUUCAGUGAUAAUGAACGCCAUACUAAUUUCCAAAUUGUACACAAGAAACUAAAAUUAAAAUAAUACAAGACUAACAAAGGCCAGAGGCUCCUGACUUGGGACAGGCGCAAAAAUGCGGAAAUGUCUUCUUCCGAUUCCUUCUCAAUCAGCAAUUUUGUAGCAGCAUCGGUAGUAACAGUUUUGUUUGCAAAAUUGAAGUAAGCUUUUCUGUUAGCACCAUCAUACAGUCGCAGUUUAAAAAUAUUAAACUCGCUUUUAUGCUGACAAAGAGUAAACAAACUAGGAAUAAAAUGAGAUAAGAUACAUGUAUAUUUUAUUUAGAGUUAAUUUACUAGUAUGAUAUGGGUAAACGGGGACUGGACUGUAGUUUUUGUCACUUAGGUUAGAAUGAGAUAAAAUGCAUCUAUCAUGAUGAUUCUAUCUAUAGUAAGUAUAUAUGAUAUUGGUACAGGGGAAUUGGAAUGGAGUUUUUUCGACGUUUACAUGUAUGUCCGUAAUUUCAAAUUAUUUCUGGAAAUAGUCGGUGGUAUUUUAGUUCCAGAAUCUAUUAAUUUAGGGGUAGUGGUUGGGGAUGUCCAAUUCCGAAACCCCUAAUAUAAAGACAGGAAAUUCCGUAGUCCCGAAUAAGUAAAGACAAAAUCCUGUUUUAAAGGUCCUACCGUUCCUCUAUAUUUUCAAAUUGGAAUAUUUGAUGUUCUUUCAAUUUUUAAGGUUAAAGAAACAUGGAUAAAAACUAAUCCAUGCAUGUUUCAUAUUAUUCAUAUUUUAUUUAUCUGUAAAGAGAAAGAUUAAAGUUGGUGAAACGGGGAAAUGAGUCGCAGACAGGACUGCCCCCUUGCGAUGCCCAUGUAGUACUUGAUUUGUCAGUCUUCUUAUAGUUUUUGGAUUAGCUCUAAUGACAUUAUAUUCAAUACUCAGACUCUGUUUACAAAAACAUUAGUUUACUAGAAUUAUUCCUUCUUUACCUUCAGUAUCGCUUAUCCUUUUUCUGCAAGAGCCUUUUUUAAAACAGAGAUCCAUGAUGAUUAUCGUUACUAGGUUAAUGUAAUCGAGAAACAUCACCCCUUGGGAUGCUGAGUUAUAUCUGAGACUACUAUAACACAAAUAAUGUGUUAUAGUAGUCUCAGGUUAUAUCCAGGAAAAAUAAUUUAAAAGGAAUGAUAACAAGUUAUAGAAAUUAAGAUUGAG
rnacentral:lncRNA from 1 species